GCCUCCCAACUCUUCGGAGACAUCCGAUAAAAUUGGAAGGAUACAUAGAAGAUUAUCAUGGUCGGUACGUGCGAGGAUGACAUCUACAAAUCGAGAAAUAGUCCAAAUUUUU
rnacentral:snRNA from 1 species